rnacentral:rRNA from 1 species
UCUCAUUGACCCAAUGUCUUCUUUCGCAUCGCGCGGAAGGAAUUCACUGUGCGA